AAACUUUCAACAACGGAUCUCUUGGUUCUGGCAUCGAUGAAGAACGCAGCGAAAUGCGAUAAGUAAUGUGAAUUGCAGAAUUCAGUGAAUCAUCGAAUCUUUGAACGCACAUUGCGCCCAAUAGUAUUCUGUUGGGCAUGCCUGUUCGAGCGUCAUU
rnacentral:rRNA from 1 species